GUCAUGGUUUGUGCUGUAUCCAUGCUGUGCCCUCUCUUUGGAAUGGGUCCUCUUCCUUGAACCUGUAAAACUUAUUCAUCCUUUAAAGCAGCUCAGAUGCCACCCCUCCAGGAAGCCUUCCCUGCUCCCCUGUGCGGGAUCCCAAGCAGGAUUCCUCAGCAUCUCCCCUUGCCUUCUGCACAGAGUUCAUCAGUAUGCUCUCAGCAUCUCCUCUGCAGUGUCUUUGUACACUCUUGUAUUAUUGCACUCAUCAUAUUACAUUGCGAUCUCUUCAUUUACAUCUCUUUGUUUACAACUCACUGAGCACCUUCAGGAAAGAAUGGUCUUUUAUUCAUUUCUGCAUGUCCAGCUCCUGACACAUAGUAAGCACUACAAUGUUUAUAAGUUGAAUUGAACUGUCUUCUGAGUUGAGUUUGGAUGUGAUAGUGCCAUGAUGGCACGCUUCUGCAUUUCUCCCCGACUCCAGUAAGAAACCCAUGCCCUAUGUUAAUAUUAUUUGAAAUUUGAUAUAGAUUAAACUUUGUGAAUAUAUUUGCAUUAUACAAGGACAAGUACAAACUACAUAGCCUUAUGGAUCCUCCCCCACGGGGGUGUGUUUCUCCUUAAAUUUAUUGCUGGCACAGCCCUCUUUAGAAUCACUGCCCUCUUUAGAGUCACUGCCCUAGAGCUAUACUUGCUUUGACCAAAUUUCUUCAGUCACAUCUCUUACCUUGGAAACCAAGAAAAAUGUUAACACUGAAAUUCCCGAGAGUUUAAAACAAACAUAAGGCUUUCUGUAAUUGAAGCAAAAACACAUUCUACGUUUGUCCAGGAUUUAUUCACCAUUUUAAUCAGGCACUAAAAGUCUAAGUUUGAGAAAGUUUGUCUGUCUUGACCUGGAGUUAAAACUGGGUUGACCUGAAAAAGGAACUGUUUUGUUCCUUUUUCAAAGCACGGUGUGGAGAGAGCUAUUGCCUGGUUAGAAGCAGCUGUGAGAUCUUUGGUAAAUGGGGAAGGAGAGGUCCUAAGGAACAAGCAGGAAAAUGGUCCCUUAUGAUUUUUCAAGUCAUUUGGUAUGAAAUAGCCUUGACCUUAUUUAUACGUUGUGAAUGAAUGGUUCUGAACUUGAAAUAUGUAUUCGUGAGGAAGGAAAAACAGUUGGGACAUGUUCCUCCAUUUUGGUGUAUAUUUUAGGAUAUCAUCCUUUAGGAAGAAGGCAUAUUCUCUUUGUUUUUUUGUUUGUUUGUUUGUUUGUUUGUUUGUUUUUCUUAACCAUAUCUUCUAAAUGCAUUAAUCAGUGGAGAGGUGACCCAGAAAUCACUGUGAAAGUUGGGACCUUAUCUUUGCUGUUUGAGCCCAGAUCUUGCAUUUAGAAUCAUGGCAUGGUGGGCAGGAUCUGAAUACUCUCCCUGGAGAAGAUGACCCUGGCAGCCAUGGGUGGCUGGGUGGCCAGGGCUCCACAGCUGGAGAAAAAUCGAGGGGAGAGAGAGUUACUUGAUGGACCUACAGGUGAACUUGUGACUGGAUCACUUUAAUCAGGAUGUUUUAAUCAGGAUAACUAUUAAACUUUGGACUUCCAGUAAGCUCAGAGACUUCUAGAGUUAGAAAAUUCCCUGCUGUAACUGGUUUGUAUGGUUUUCCCCAUCCAUGUUGGUAGGUCAGAAAUGGAAUUUGUGUAACUCUUAGUAUUACAGAUAUUUAUGUUGUUGUGUGCAGUACUUAAAUUUAAAAGAAAAAGGAAGUUGAUUGAUUGUCCUUAAUGAAAAUUAAAGAAAUAAGGAAGUGGGAGGCUCUUAAUCUCUGACAUCUGGUCUGGGACAAACCUGGGGGAGGCAGUGUGGUUAUGGAACUGGUAUAGGGUUGAUCUAGACAUCUGGGUUGUUCGGGAAGUGACUUCAGGCCCUUUUAGGAUGUGGAGUGGCCUCUUGCCUCUUACAUUGCUCUUUAUGUAUUAGGCCUUUUGUCAACUAAGGAUUUCUUUGAGGAUUGUGAUGAAGCAUGCUGUAAUGUGGAAUUGAAAUGUUUUCAUGUUUAUGUUUGUUUUCCUUUCGCCUAAUGAAUAGGCUAGUAAUAGUCUGUUGUUUUAAAUGAGUACUAUUAAUAAUAAUGACAGCUCAUAUUUUUAUCAUUACAGCAUUUAAAAAAUAUCAUUCAUAGGGAGGAAGAAAUGUAGGGUAAUGGAGGACCAGCUAUGUAAUGUUGAAGAUGUCAUUCCACCUUUGGGAUUCUCAGCUUCUCAGCUGGAAAGUGGAAAGAUGGAUUACUAGUUCCUAGCUUCAUGAUUUUUAGGACAUAUGAACAAAAAAUGGCUAUUGUUAAGUGAGUUGUCACAUAGAGUCUAGAUGUUGAUUAUUGUCCUGGGGGAAGGAUAGAAACCAGAGAAUAGAUAGCACAGGUUCUUCCUACUCCCCUCUUCUACUUCUGGUUUAAGGUUUCAUCUUUUUUUUUUUUUCUUUGUUUUCUUCUUAAAGGUUUCAUCUUUAAAUGACAUUAAUUAGGCUUUGUGUUUUUAGCCAUUUUUAGAGUCCGUUGUGCUGUAUCUCCUGAUCUCUCUUUUUCAGUGAUUUGUGGUUAUGUAAGUUAUCUCAGUUCUUUGCUGUCAGCAAUUUUAAAUCAAACAUUGAAGCAUUUUGGGUAGAUGACGUGUUACUUUGAUUAAUGAGGUUCUUGAUCUGGAUA
rnacentral:lncRNA from 1 species